rnacentral:rRNA from 1 species
UACGGGGGGGGCAAGCGUUGUUCGGAAUUACUGGGCGUAAAGGGCUCGUAGGUGGCCAACUAAGUCAGACGUGAAAUCCCUCGGCUUAACCGGGGAACUGCGUCUGAUACUGGAUGGCUUGAGUUCGGGGAGAGGGAUGCGGAAUUCCAGGUGUAGCGGUGAAAUGCGUAGAUAUCUGGAGGAACACCGGUGGCGAAGGCGGCAUCCUGGACCGAUACUGACACUGAGGGAGCGAAAGCCAGGGGAGCAAACGGG